UACGUAGGGGGCAAGCGUUGUCCGGAAUUAUUGGGCGUAAAGAGCGCGUAGGCGGUCCGAUAAGUCGGCUGUGAAAGUCAGGGGCUCAACCCUUGAAAGCCGGCCGAUACUGUCGGACUAGAGUCCGGAAGAGGCGAGUGGAAUUCCCGGUGUAGCGGUGAAAUGCGUAGAGAUGCGGAGGAACACCGAUGGCGAAGGCAGCCCCCUGGGCCAACACUGACGCUCAGGCACGAAAGCGUGGGGAGCAAACAGG
rnacentral:rRNA from 1 species